UACGUAGGGUGCGAGCGUUGUCCGGAAUUAUUGGGCGUAAAGAGCUCGUAGGCGGUUUGUUGCGUCGGCCGUGAAAACUUGGGGCUUAACCCCGAGCUUGCGGUCGAUACGGGCAGACUUGAGUUCGGCAGGGGAGACUGGAAUUCCUGGUGUAGCGGUGAAAUGCGCAGAUAUCAGGAGGAACACCGGUGGCGAAGGCGGGUCUCUGGGCCGAUACUGACGCUGAGGAGCGAAAGCGUGGGGAGCGAACAGG
rnacentral:rRNA from 1 species